UGGGGGAUAUUGCACAAUGGGCGAAAGCCUGAUGCAGCGACGCCGAGUGGGGGAUGAAGGCCUUCGGGUUGUAAACUUCUUUUGCUCUGAACAAGGCGCACCAUGGGGUGUGUUGAGUGUAGGGGUUGAUUAGCGCCGGCUAACUACGUGCCAGCAGCCGCGGUAAUACGUAGGGCGCGAGCGUUGUCCGGAAUUAUUGGGCGUAAAGGGCUUGUAGGUGGCUGGUUGCGUCUGUCGUGAAAGCUCAUGGCUUAACUGUGGGUUUGCGGUGGGUACGGGCUGGCUUGAGUGCAGUAGGGGAGGCUGGAAUUCCUGGUGUAGCGGUGGAAUGCGCAGAUAUCAGGAGGAAUACCGGUGGCGAAGGCGGGUCUCUGGGCUGUUACUGACACUGAGGAGCGAAAGCAUGGGGAGCGAACAGG
rnacentral:rRNA from 1 species